CAAGGCCAGUUACCACUCUUACCAAUAACCUUCCUUACCUUACGCCUAACUUCUCUCUUCUUUUUUUUUUAAUUUUUUUAUUGAAAAAAUUCUUUAUUUUCUUUUGAGGGGACCUAACUUCCUUUUUCAUUUCCUCGUAUCUCAGUAAACUUGCCCAAUUUUCUCUCUCUGCUUCUUUCAUUCAAGCCCUAACUUAAUCACUUAAUUGCAAUUUCUUAGCUUCCUCUACAAUAUGAUUCAUUGAUUUUUCUUCCAAUUUGCAAAUCUGUUAUUUUCCCCAUUUUUUCGAAUUCUGAUUUCUCAAUUUAGGGUUCUUCCAAGAAAAAAAAUCCCAACUUGUAUCGAUUUUUUUUUAUGUAAUGACGAUAUUACUUUGAUUCGCUAAAGGGUUUUAGUAAGUGUGAUUCUCUCCGUUCUUAUUAACCGCUUCAAUUGUCCAUAAGUUAAAUCAUUUGCCCAACCUUUCAACUUUUUCUUUACAAAAAUCCAACCUUAUGAUUAUUCGUCAAAAAUCCAACCUUUAUACCCCUCCUUCUUCAAUAGGUCCAUUACCUGUUGAUGACCGAUUUUUGUAAGUCAUAUUCCACGUGUCAGCUAUUAAUAGGUUAAUUAUUUUUUUAAUUAUUAAAAAACAAAAAAAAAUUAAAAGAAAAAGAAAAAAAAAUUCAGAAAACCAGCUCCACCCUCUCCCUUCCCUGACCACCCCAACCCACCGCCCACCGGAACCCAGCACAGCCACCAACACUCACGCCCAGCCACCAACUCCACUGCCCAGCCACCAACUCCACCGCCCAGCCACUAACACUCACGCCCAGCCACCAACCCCACUGCCCAGCCACCAACACUCACGCCCAGCCACCAACCCCACCUCCGUCCAAAUCCAAACCCUGCAACUCCAAAACGCCCAGCCCCGGAACUCCAAACGCACAGCCUCGCAACUCCAAAACGCCCAGCCCCGCAUAUCCAAACGCACAACCCCGCUACUCUUAACGCACAGCCACCAGUUUCCAUCACUCUCACUGCAUUCUCCGACGCGACAACGGGGCAUUUCGCCGGCUCUCAUCUUCCUCAAUUGCUCUGCUCAUCGCACUAUCCAAGUCCACCGCCAUCCUCUGUUCAUCCUCGAUCUUCUUCAAUUUCAGCAUCAAUUUCUCUCUCCACCUCAUCUUCAAUCAGAUUCAGCGCUCUCACCCCAUUCUCAGUUGUAGAGUAAUCAUGGUCGUUGUUUAUGCUGCUGUGUUGAUCAACCGUGUCAUUCGGAUCAUGAUAUCCAUUGAUAUUCGGGCUAUUUACAUCGCCGUCUUUGUUGCCGUUGAGGGUUGGUGGAAAUCGGCAGAAGUGUUGAGUGUGGUGACGGAGGUGGGGUUGGUGGUUGAGGUGAGAGGAGAGGAGAGGAGUGAGAAAGAAUAGGAGUGAGAAGAGAAAAUGCAAAAAUAAUAAAAAAAAAUAAAAUAAAAUACUUUUUUAACCUGUUUAUCAGGUCACAAGUAAAAUGGACCUGUUGGGGAAGGAGGGGUAUAAAGGUUGGAUUUUUGAGGAAUAAUCAAAAGGUUGGAUCUUUGUAAAGAAAAAGUUGAAAGGUUGGAUUUUUGAGGAAUAAUCAAAAGGUUGGAUCUUUGUAAAGAAAAAGUUGAAAGGUCUUUGCAACAUUCAGCCAUGAUUUCAUCUCUGGUGGCGUCACUCACCGAAAAUCUAGUAGUUUUUGUUUCUCAAUUUAAUUUAUUUCUGUUUGUUAUCAUUUUAUAUGGCCUUAUUAAUUUCUCAAUUUUGAUGCUGCAAUGUCGUAAAAAUGUUGAAUUUAAUCUUGUAAAUUUUCUCUCUUUUUUAGGGUUUUGAUUGCAAUUGUUAAUUUUGUUGGAUUUAAAUAAUUAUAGUUUCGCCGAAAUUAGCUUGAAUUGCUGAUUGUAUAGGGGUGGUUUCAAGGGAAAUUGAUUUGGGAAAGAGGAGAAGAAUGGAGAAAAAAAAAGCCGCAGAGCAUUUUCUCAAGGUAGCUAAAUUGAACCCCCAAAAUGGGGAAGCAUUUAGAUUUUUAGGUCAUUACUAUAGUUGUGUUUGUUUAGAUACUCAGAGAAUUCUCAAAUGCUACCAGUGUGCUGUUAAGCUUAAUCCUGAUGAUUCGCAAUCCGGGGAAGCAUUGUGUGAUUUACUGGACAAAAGUGGAAAGGAGAGCUUAGAGAUUGCUUUGUGCAGGGAGGCGUUCGGGAAGUCACCCCGUGCCUUUUUGGGCAUUUUCUAGACUAGGUUUGCUGAUGGUAAUUUUUUUUUUUUUUUCGUUAUAGUUGCUCCUUUCGCAUGCAUCCUUGAAGGGAAAAACAAUCAAACUUGAAAGAGAAGAUUUUGUAUUUGUGUUUAUAUUGAAAUGCAUUGUCCUUAUAUGUUGGCAUAUACAUACAUAUAUUCAGGUGCAUCAAAACAAGUGGUUUGAGGCAGUUCAGAGUCUACAGCAUUCCAUCAGAGGCUACCCAACCUGUGCCGAUCUCUGGGAAGUCUGUAUCCCUUUUAAUACUUUCCAUUGUAUCAGUCCGCCAUGAGAAAACUCGUAUACCCACCACAAGUUGCAGCGCCUCAGGUUAAUGAGACCAGCUGCUCAAGAUAGAUCUUUGUAACAAGCCUAUUUGGCUUGUUGCCGUUGUAAGGGAGGCUAUCGGAGGGUGGUUGUCGCGGGGAGUCGAUUCCUCUCAGAAGUUGAAUAAGGUCUUCGCUGACAUGGAAGAAUUGGGUGUCAAACCGGAUGAAUUUAUAGCCAUGAGGGCAGUUGCUCUUAUAAAAGGGGUGGAAAGAGUCUCCGGAGGAAGAAAAAACAAUCAAGUAUAGAUCGAGCAAAUCAGAGCUAUUCUUGGCCUUUUCGAUUCAAUGAGGACACCUGUGGUACUUACAGUAUUUUGCACCCUUCACUAACUUAUAAUUAAUUCUUUCAAGUAGACCAUGUUACUUUCCGUGAUAAUGGCACUCUUAUCACUCUGUUCUUUUAGGAUGACAUACGUGUCCUUUGUAGUUGAAAGUUGGUGACAUAUUUGUAAUUACAAGUACAUCAUUUUCUAUAUGUUAUAAGUGGUGAUGUAGAUCGAUGUUGAUUAAUAAAUUGGACCUUACGUGGUUUAAAUUAUAAUAAUCAUUGUAUUUAUUACUGUAUAAAAGCUGGGUUAAU